rnacentral:lncRNA from 1 species
UCUUUUAUGUUCAAGGGCUGAGGCAUUGACAUUGGGCACCUACUGAGCAGGGACUGCUUUGAGGCCAGUUCUGGAGGCUUCACCCUUUUGACAACUUAGCUGCUGCAAUGAUAGAUGGAAUUAUGACACCUUGUACAAGACCUUCCAGGUAUAGUCAUUAUCAAACAUAAUUUUACUUUCUUACUUCUUUUUAUUUUAUAAAUUGAAAAAAAUAU